GUUCAUCUGAAAAUUUUGCUUUCUUCAUCAUAAAUUAUACAAGAUCUUUUUCAGGCCUCUUUUAUAACCUUUCAUCAGGGCUCUAUGCGCUCUCAAAGCCAAAUAUGCGAAACACACCUUCAUCAGCCUGGUAUUUGUUCUUAUCAUCCCCGGCAAAGGCAAGCAAGUUGUGUUUUGGAUUCCAUUCAACACUGUUCAUGGCAGCACGACAUGGAAUUUGGUGAACUGACCGUCCAGAUUGGACAUUAGCAAUAUCAAUAAACAAAUCUUCACUA
rnacentral:misc_RNA from 1 species